rnacentral:rRNA from 1 species
CACGUAGUUGGCCGCACCUUCUUCUGCAGGUACCGUCAUUUUCUUCCCUGCUGAAAGCGGUUUACAACCCUAAGGCCUUCUUCCCGCACGCGGCGUUGCUGCAUCAGGCUUUCGCCCAUUGUGCAAUAUUCCCCACUGCUGCCUCCCGUAGGAGUCUGGGCCGUGUCUCAGUCCCAGUGUGGCUGAUCAUCCUCUCAGACCAGCUACCCGUCGAUGCCUUGGUGAGCCGUUACCUCGCCAACUAGCUGAUAGGCCGCGAGGCCCUCCCAAACCGCAAAAGCUUUCUUCGAUGCGCCAUGCGACGCUACGAAGGUAUUCGGUAUUAGCAGCCGUUUCCGACUGUUAUUCCCAAGUCCGGGGCAGGUUCCUCACGUGUUACGCACCCGUUCGCCACUAGAUCUUCGCUUUGCCCGAAGGCUCGGCUGGAUCUCGUUCGACUUGCAUGUGUUAAGCACGCCGCCAGCGUUCGUCCUGAGCCAGGAGUCAAACUCU